ACGGGUGAGUAAUGUCUGGGAAACUGCCCGAUGGAGGGGGAUAACUACUGGAAACGGUAGCUAAUACCGCAUAACGUCGCAAGACCAAAGUGGGGGACCUUCGGGCCUCACACCAUCGGAUGUGCCCAGAUGGGAUUAGCUAGUAGGUGGGGUAACGGCUCACCUAGGCGACGAUCCCUAGCUGGUCUGAGAGGAUGACCAGCCACACUGGAACUGAGACACGGUCCAGACUCCUACGGGAGGCAGCAGUGGGGAAUAUUGCACAAUGGGCGCAAGCCUGAUGCAGCCAUGCCGCGUGUAUGAAGAAGGCCUUCGGGUUGUAAAGUACUUUCAGCGGGGAGGAAGGCGAUGCGGUUAAUAACCGCGUCGAUUGACGUUACCCGCAGAAGAAGCACCGGCUAACUCCGUGCCAGCAGCCGCGGUAAUACGGAGGGUGCAAGCGUUAAUCGGAAUUACUGGGCGUAAAGCGCACGCAGGCGGUCUGUCAAGUCGGAUGUGAAAUCCCCGGGCUUAACCUGGGAACUGCAUUCGAAACUGGCAGGCUAGAGUCUUGUAGAGGGGGGUAGAAUUCCAGGUGU
rnacentral:rRNA from 1 species